GUUUAUGAUAUUCAAUUUGGCUCCUGCUGUAAUGUAUACUGAAACCUCAGGCUGCUGAGCUAUCUUGAUGGUUUUAAGAAGACAAUCUGGUGCCUUUACCUGCUAGAGAAGUCACCUAGAAUCCUGUUGUUUAAAGCAGAAGAUUGUGUUUCCCCACCACCCCCACACCAAACCCAGGGAAAAGAUAAGCUAACAGGCAGAUCUUCCUGUCACCAAACACACAGAUCUACCUUCAACUUCAUCCUCCCAAUUCAAUGAAGACUUCAUCUAAUGUCUCUUCGGUAUGAGUGCGUGCUUCCUCCCUGGAGCCUUCAUAUAAGAACUACUUAACAAUAAACAUGCUGAUCCAUUGUGGAAUUAUUAAGGAAAAUACAUUGAAAUAGGUGGCAUUCUUGUCAAAGA
rnacentral:lncRNA from 1 species